UCCGACGUGGGCUGGGGGAGGUGGAGAGAUUGAUGGGUACUCACCCGGCAUGCAUGAGUCGCUGGGUUCCCUCCCAGCACUGCAUAUAAAUUGAGCAUGGUGGUACGCGCCUCUAAAGGUUAGCUCUUGAGAGGGGCAGACAGGAGGGUCAGCGAUGUUAGGAAUGGCUACUGCUUCUGGAACGUUCUCCGAGUUACCACCUGAUUGAUGGCUAAGAUUAACUGAGCUCUUAACUCUGAGUUGGACACAUGCCUGACGCUUUCCCCCGACACGGCGCCUUCCCCACCACGACCAUCCCUGUUCUUCGGAAGAGGGAAACUGAGGCAAGCCAUCAGGCCGGUAUCACACAGCAGCAGACUGGGAAGCUGAGAGCCUCCUGGGAGUUCUGCCAGGCCCAGAGCAUUGCGAGGGGACAGGACUGAGUGUGUUACCAUCCCUAACCGCUAUGCAGGCUGAAUGCCACCAUGUAGCAAGCCUCUCCUCUAACCUACGGCGGCGUCACAUGCUAUAUCUAUCCACUGUCAGCCGAGACUGCCGGGAAGACGCCUGAUUUCAAGGGAAGUUGAGCGCAUCUCCAGACUGGCGAAAUACAAUAAACUGUACUGGAUGUGG